AACGAACGCUGGCGGCAUGCCUAACACAUGCAAGUCGAACGAGACCUUCGGGUCUAGUGUCGCACGGGUUCGUAACGCGUGGGAACCUUCCCUUAUGUUCGGAAUAACUCCCCGAAAGGGGUGCUAAUACCGGAUAAUGUCUUCGGACCAAAGAUUUAUCGCCUUUGGAUGUUCCCUCGUUGGAUUAGCUAGUUGGUAGGGUAAAAGCCUACCAAGGCGACGAUCCAUAACUGGUCUGAGAGGAUGAUCAGCCACACUGGGACUGAGAAACGGCCCAGACUCCUACGGGAGGAAGCAGUGGGGAAUAUUGGACAAUGGGGGAAAGCAUGAUCCAGCAAUGACGCGUGAGCGAUGAAGGCAUUAGGGUUGUAAAGCUCUUUUACCCGGGAUGAUAAUGACAGUACCGGGAGAAUAAGCUCCGGCUAACUCCGUG
rnacentral:rRNA from 1 species